CAGAAGACAGAGCCACAGCCUGGCCCUGUGAGGGACAGGCAUUUCCUGUCUUUGAAUCCAAACUGCUGUCAACUCUACCACCACCUACUCACAUGCAGAGUCCCUGGCUGGCUUCGAGAGCCUCAACAAAAGCCAGUGUUAGUUACUUGGGUGAGUUGGCUCCCCAGGCUUUUGAGAUACCUGCCUUUUGUCCAGCACUGCAUCGUCCUCGCAUAUCCAAGGCCGUGUCUCCCUUCAGCAUCACCACUCGGUAGUUAUAAUUCCGCCUUUUAUCAGAAGCUGAUACAUUUUCAUCGGCAUCAGACCGUAUUUCUAUGUAUUCAAUAUCUGACACAGAAAAAAGAAUAUUUUAAAGGAACC